UGAUGACGAGACGCUAAGGCGUUGAAGCAGUGUAUGUCAGACUUCCAAGAAAAGCUCGCAAUGUCACAAAUAAAAAUGCCUGUACCAUAACCGACACAGGUGGGUAGGUAGAGUAUACUAAGGGGCGCGAGAUAACUCUCUCUAAGGAACUCGGCAAAAUGACUCCGUAACUUCGGGAGAAGGAGUGCCUUAUUUAUAAGGUUGCAAUAACAAGAUCCAAGCAACUGUUUAUCAAAAACACAGGUCUCCGCUAAGUCGUAAGACGAUGUAUGGGGGCUGACGCCUGCCCAGUGCCAGAAGGUUAAAGAAGUUGGUUAGUGUAUGCGAAGCUGAUGACUGAAGCCCUGGUGAACGGCGGCCGUAACUAUAACGGUCCUAAGGUAGCGAAAUUCCUUGUCGGGUAAGUUCCGACCCGCACGAAAGGCGUAAUGAUUUGGAUACUGUCUCGGAGAGAGGCUCGGUGAAAUAGACUUGUCUGUGAAGAUGCGGACUACCUGCACCAGGACAGAAAGACCCUAUGAAGCUUUACUGUAACUUGAAAUUGGAAUUGGACUUUGCUUGCGCAGUAUAGGUGGGAAGCGUUGAAAAUAUUCUUGCGGGAGUAUUGGAGCUAUCAGUGAGAUACCACUCUUGUAAUGUUAGAUUUCUAACUUUGAACCAUAAUCUGGUCAAAGAACAGUUUCAGGUGGGCAGUUUGACUGGGGCGGUCGCCUCCCAAAUGGUAACGGAGGCGUACAAAGGUUUCCUCUGAACGGAUAGAAAUCGUAUCUAGAGUGUAAAGGCAUAAGGAAGCUUGACUGUGAGACCUACAAGUCGAGCAGGGACGAAAGUCGGUCUUAGUGAUCUGACGGUACUGAGUGGAAAGGCCGUCACUCAACGGAUAAAAGUUACUCUAAGGAUAACAGGCUGAUCUCCCCCAAGAGUUCACAUCGACGGGGAGGUUUGGCACCUCGAUGUCGGCUCAUCGCAUCCUGGGGCGGUAGUACGUCCCAAGGGUUGGGCUGUUCGCCCAUGAAAGCGGUACGCGAGCUGGGUUCAGAACGUCGUGAGACAGUUCGGUCCAUAUCCGGUGUAGGCGCUAGAAUAUUGAGAGGAGCCUUCUUUAGUACGAGAGGACCGAGAAGGACACACCGCUGGUGUACCAGUUAUCGUGCCAACGGUAAACGCUGGGUAGCUAUGUGUGGAGUGGAUAACCGCUGAAAGCAUCUAAGUGGGAAGCCCACCUCGAGAUGAGUAUUCAG
rnacentral:rRNA from 1 species